ACACUGACGUCGCGACGCAUAUCAAUAAGCGGAGGAAAAGAAACUAACAAGGAUUCCCUUAGUAACGGCGAGUGAAGCGGGAAGAGCUCAAAUUUGAAAUCUUCAAGGUUUUACCUUGACGAAUUGUAGUUUAUAGAAGUGUUUUCUGUUAGUUUGGAGUGAAAAGUUCUUUGGAAUAGGACAUCAUAGAGGGUGAGAAUCCCGUAUUUGGACUAUUCCUUCUAGCUUUGUGAUACUACUUUCAAAGAGUCGGAUUGUUUGGGAAUGCAGUCCAAAAUGGGUGGUAAAUUUCAUCUAAAGCUAAAUAUUGGCGAGAGACCGAUAGCGAACAAGUACCGUGAGGGAAAGAUGAAAAGAACUUUGAAAAGAGAGUUAAACAGUACGUGAAAUUGUCAAAAGGGAAGCGUUUGACACCAGUGUUGUUUUUCCGAAAAUCAAUUAUAAAUGUUUUGUUUCUGAGGAGUGAUGACUUCAUCGGCUUCCUUCUCUCUUCACGAAACUUUUGUAAUGCACUUUUCGGUUAACAAGUCAACAUCAAUUUCUUUUGUUGUAAAAGAGUAUUCGGAAGGUGGCUUUCUUUUCGGAGAAAGUGUUUAUAGCCCUAUACUUCUACAAUCGGAGAGAUUGAGGUCUGCAGCGUAGAUCCUUCGGGGUUAGAUACACUUGUGCUAAGUUAUAGCUUUUCAUAGACAACUUGUUGACUAUGUUUAGUCUUGUAGCUUACUCGCUUGUGCUAUUUUACCUACGCUUAGGAUGUUGAGUCGUAGAGCACGCAG
rnacentral:rRNA from 1 species